GACGAACGCUGGCGGCGUGCCUAAUACAUGCAAGUCGAGCGAAUGAUGAGAAGCUUACUUCUCUGAUUUAGCGGCGGACGGGUGAGUAACACGUGGGCAACCUGCCCUGUAGACUGGGAUAACUUCGGGAAACCGGAGCUAAUACCGGAUAAUUCUUUUAGCCUCAUGGCUUUAAGCUAAAAGGCGCUUCGGCGUCACUACAGGAUGGGCCCGCGGUGCAUUAGCUAGUUGGUGGGGUAACGGCCUACCAAGGCAACGAUGCAUAGCCGACCGGAGAGGGUGAUCGGCCACAUUGGGACUGAGACACGGCCCAAACUCCUACGGGAGGCAGCAGUAGGGAAUCUUCCACAAUGGACGAAAGUCUGAUGGAGCAACGCCGCGUGAGUGAUGAAGGUUUUCGGAUCGUAAAACUCUGUUGUAAGGGAAGAACAAGUGCGUUAGGUAAUGAACGCACCUUGACGGUACCUUAUUAGAAAGCCACGGCUAACUACGUGCCAGCCGCCGCCGUAA
rnacentral:rRNA from 1 species